rnacentral:rRNA from 1 species
UUAAAUUGAAGAGUUUGAUCAUGGCUCAGAUUGAACGCUGGCGGCAGGCCUAACACAUGCAAGUCGAACGGUAACAGGAAGAAGCUUGCUUCUUUGCUGACGAGUGGCGGACGGGUGAGUAAUGUCU